rnacentral:rRNA from 1 species
AACGUAGGUGGCGAGCGUUAUCCGGAUUCAUUGGGCGUAAAGGGCUUGUAGGUGGCGGCGUAAGUUGGACGUGAAAUCGCCCGGCUCAACCGGGCGGGGUCGUUCAAUACUGCGCGGCUGGAGGAGGUCAGAGGGAAGUGGAAUUCCUGGUGUAGCAGUGAAAUGCGUAGAUAUCAGGAGGAACACCCGUGGCGAAGGCGGCUUCCUGGGGCCAUCCUGACACUGAGAAGCGAAAGCUAGGGGAGCGAACGGG